rnacentral:rRNA from 1 species
UGCCAGCCGCCGCGGUAACACGGGGGGCGCAAGCGUUAUUCGGAAUUAUUGGGCGUAAAGGGCGCGCAGGCGGCCUUGUCCGUCAGGUGUGAAAGCUCGGGGCUCAACUCCGAAACUGCGUCUGAAACUAUUAAUCUAGGAUCUCGGAGGGGGAUGGGGAAUUUCUCAUGUAGGGGUAAAAUCCGUAGAUAUUCGGAGGAACACCAGUGGCGAAGGCGGCUUUCUGGACCGAUACUGACGCUGAGACGCGAAAGCGUGGGGAGCAAACAGGAUUAGAUA